UCCGGCGACGGCGCGGGUUUCGGUGCGGCGGCCUUCGGGGCAGCCGGGGCGGGUGCGGCCGGCCGCUCGACC
rnacentral:tRNA from 1 species